AUUGAACGCUGGCGGCAUGCUUUACACAUGCAAGUCGAACGGCAGCGCGGGCUUCGGCCUGGCGGCGAGUGGCGAACGGGUGAGUAAUACAUCGGAACGUGCCCAGUAGUGGGGGAUAGCUCGGCGAAAGCCGGAUUAAUACCGCAUACGACCUGAGGGUGAAAGCGGGGGAUCUUCGGAGCUCGCGGUUUUGGAGCGGCCGAUGGCAGAUUAGCUAGUUGGUGGGGUAAAGGCCUACCAAGGCGACGAUCUGUAGCUGGUCUGAGAGGACGACCAGCCACACUGGGACUGAGACACGGCCCAGACUCCUACGGGAGGCAGCAGUGGGGAAUUUUGGACAAUGGGCGAAAGCCUGAUCCAGCAAUGCCGCGUGUGUGAUGAAGGCCUUCGGGUUGUAAAGCACUUUUGGCGGGAACGAAAAGGACUGUGCCAAUACCACGGUUCGAUGACGGUACCCGCAGAAUAAGCACCGGCUAACUACGUG
rnacentral:rRNA from 1 species